rnacentral:lncRNA from 1 species
AGUGUUGUAAUUGAUUCUGGAGGAGCCUUCUACUGAUCGGAUAGUGAUUGUUGAGAGUACCGUCUCUCCCCAGACGUAACGAUGGAAGGUCGUGAACUGAGUAAACAAAGUGUUGUGUGUCUUUGAAAGUUCAAGAUCAAACAAACCUAAUUAAAUCACAAGGUCAAAACGCUACAUUACUAAACAUCACAUCACUAUUACUACUAACAUCAACAAAAGUUUUCGGAAAUCAAAUUUUAUUUUCUCAAGUGUUUAUAUAGAAGUUAGUAAUGAUGGAUACUACCUCAAGGUCUUUACGUUCAAAGAAAGCCAUCUGUAG